GAAAUGCGAUAAGUAAUGUGAAUUGCAGAAUUCAGUGAAUCAUCGAAUCUUUGAACGCACAUUGCGCCCGCCAGUAUUCUGGCGGGCAUGCCUGUUCGAGCGUCAUUACAACCCUCAGGCCCCCGGGCCUGGCGUUGGGGAUCGGCGGAAGCCCCCUGCGGGCACAACGCCGUCCCCCAAAUACAGUGGCGGUCCCGCCGCAGCUUCCAUUGCGUAGUAGCUAACACCUCGCAACUGGAGAGCGGCGCGGCCACGCCGUAAAACACCCAACUUCUGAAUGUUGACCUCGAAUCGGGUAGGAAUACCCGCUGAACUUAAGC
rnacentral:misc_RNA from 1 species